GAUGAACGCUGGCGGCGUGCCUAAUACAUGCAAGUCGAGCGAACGGACGAGAAGCUUGCUUCUCUGAUGUUAGCGGCGGACGGGUGAGUAACACGUGGAUAACCUACCUAUAAGACUGGGAUAACUUCGGGAAACCGGAGCUAAUACCGGAUAAUAUUUUGAACCGCAUGGUUCAAAAGUGAAAGACGGUCUUGCUGUCACUUAUAGAUGGAUCCGCGCUGCAUUAGCUAGUUGGUAAGGUAACGGCUUACCAAGGCAACGAUGCAUAGCCGACCUGAGAGGGUGAUCGGCCACACUGGAACUGAGACACGGUCCAGACUCCUACGGGAGGCAGCAGUAGGGAAUCUUCCGCAAUGGGCGAAAGCCUGACGGAGCAACGCCGCGUGAGUGAUGAAGGUCUUCGGAUCGUAAAACUCUGUUAUUAGGGAAGAACAUAUGUGUAAGUAACUGUGCACAUCUUGACGGUACCUAAUCAGAAAGCCACGGCUAACUACGUGCCAGCAGCCGCGGUAAUACGUAGGUGGCAAGCGUUAUCCGGAAUUAUUGGGCGUAAAGCGCGCGUAGGCGGUUUUUUAAGUCUGAUGUGAAAGCCCACGGCUCAACCGUGGAGGGUCAUUGGAAACUGGAAAACUUGAGUGCAGAAGAGGAAAGUGGAAUUCCAUGUGUAGCGGUGAAAUGCGCAGAGAUAUGGAGGAACACCAGUGGCGAAGGCGACUUUCUGGUCUGUAACUGACGCUGAUGUGCGAAAGCGUGGGGAUCAAACAGGAUUAGAUACCCUGGUAGUCCACGCCGUAAACGAUGAGUGCUAAGUGUUAGGGGGUUUCCGCCCCUUAGUGCUGCAGCUAACGCAUUAAGCACUCCGCCUGGGGAGUACGACCGCAAGGUUGAAACUCAAAGGAAUUGACGGGGACCCGCACAAGCGGUGGAGCAUGUGGUUUAAUUCGAAGCAACGCGAAGAACCUUACCAAAUCUUGACAUCCUUUGACAACUCUAGAGAUAGAGCUUUCCCCUUCGGGGAACAAAGUGACAGGUGGUGCAUGGUUGUCGUCAGCUCGUGUCGUGAGAUGUUGGGUUAAGUCCCGCAACGAGCGCAACCCUUAAGCUUAGUUGCCAUCAUUAAGUUGGGCACUCUAAGUUGACUGCCGGUGACAAACCGGAGGAAGGUGGGGAUGACGUCAAAUCAUCAUGCCCCUUAUGAUUUGGGCUACACACGUGCUACAAUGGACAAUACAAAGGGCAGCGAAACCGUGAGGUCAAGCAAAUCCCAUAAAGUUGUUCUCAGUUCGGAUUGUAGUCUGCAACUCGACUACAUGAAGCUGGAAUCGCUAGUAAUCGUAGAUCAGCAUGCUACGGUGAAUACGUUCCCGGGUCU
rnacentral:rRNA from 1 species